UCGAAUACGAUCAUUAUGGUUAUUUAUUGUGGUAAGAGAUAACCCACCCGAAUCCCCCCAGCCCUAACUCAGAACUCCUAUAAAUUUGGAGAUUAUGCUACCAGCACCCUUCUCUACCUUUCGGGGUUUCUAUUCUGUAAAUAUCUCUCUUCAUUCUUUUUUAGUUUCUUUUCGAUGUUUAAUGAAUUUCUUCCAUCUAUAUGUUUUUGGGUAGAAGAGAGAAAGAUCGCAGUGAUGACUCCAAUAAAUUCAAGCUCAACAGACCGGAAUGCAGGCUUCUCUCUCUGGAGAAAUUUGCGUGUCGAACACCCCGCUGAACUGAGCGAUCUUUCCCUUUCUCUCUUCUUUUGAUUGUUUUGGUUCUCCAAAGCAUUUUUAAUUACAAAUGACCAAUUCCUAGGGUUCGAUAUUCUCUAUCAUUUUCUUGGAAACCAAACAGACUAUUGGUCGAGUGCAUUGGUCGCGUUAGUUUUUUUUUUUUUUUUCAAGCUUAUGUUGUGGGGAAUUUGAAGGUUACGAUGAGGAUUCUUAGCUCCCUCUUCUGAAGUAAGUUUGAAGAGAGAUAGCUGGUAGAAUCGAACCUAUGACUUUAUCGCCACCACUGAGUAAUCUUUUCCCCACUUCAUAUACUCCCUGAAGUUUUCAAUGCUAUGCUAUUAUGGGAUAUUAUUUUCUAUGAAUUUAUUUUGAGUUCCGUCAUUUAAAUGUGUUUGUGUGUGUGAAAUCAAGAUUGGGAUGAAGAAAAACAACGUAAUCCAACACUUGAUCUGAGACAUUCAUUGUCGAGUGAUUGUAAAUUAUUAGCUUCUGAAUCUACAUAUGUUUUUCCCACUUUUUUGGUUCAAUGUUCUGGUCUUUUCACUCAACUAUUGGGUCUACGUUAUGCAAGGCCUCAGUAGCAAGGGAGAUUGCAAUUAUUUACAUCUGUUUCCUGUUUAACCAGGAGUUUAUUGCUCCGGACGAAGAAAUCACAUUCAUUUAUCUGUCUGCUGAAGAAGCCCCUAACAUUUUUGUGGCUUUGAAAAAAUCUCUUGAACAGAACAGAGAUUUAAUAAGCUUUCGCCCCAUGCUCUUAUUAAAUCCAAUUUCCCAUGCUUUUAUUGGUCGACCGCCAAGCUACCCUCAUCAAGUAAGACUGUUGGCCUUAACCCCUGGGAGUUGGCUUAAGUAGCAAAGGUCUUGGGCUUGAGAGUAUGCUCCUCCUAAGUCUAAGGUUCAAAUA